CGGAAAAGAUAAGUGCUGAAAGCAUCUAAGCACGAAACUUGCCCCGAGAUGAGUUCUCCCUGAGACUUAGAGUCUCCUGAAGGAACGUUGAAGACGACGACGUUGAUAGGCCGGGUGUGUAAGCACAGCGAUGCGUUGAGCUAACCGGUACUAAUGAACCGUGAGGCUUAACCUUACAACGCCGAAG
rnacentral:rRNA from 1 species